rnacentral:rRNA from 1 species
GAUGAACGCUGGCGGCGUGCCUAAUACAUGCAAGUCGAGCGAACAGACGAGGAGCUUGCUCCUCUGACGUUAGCGGCGGACGGGUGAGUAACACGUGGAUAACCUACCUAUAAGACUGGGAUAACUUCGGGAAACCGGAGCUAAUACCGGAUAACAUGUUGAACCGCAUGGUUCAACAGUGAAAGACGGUCUUGCUGUCACUUAUAGAUGGAUCCGCGCCGCAUUAGCUAGUUGGUAAGGUAACGGCUUACCAAGGCAACGAUGCGUAGCCGACCUGAGAGGGUGAUCGGCCACACUGGAGCUGAGACACGGUCCAGACUCCUACGGGAGGCAGCAGUAGGGAAUCUUCCGCAAUGGGCGAAAGCCUGACGGAGCAACGCCGCGUGAGUGAAGAAGGUCUUCGGAUCGUAAAACUCUGUUAUUAGGGAAGAACAAAUGUGUAAGUAACUAUGCACGUCUUGACGGUACCUAAUCAGAAAGCCACGGCUAACUACGUG